UGCGUCUAACCAUAGUUGCCAGUGUGAGUCUCUCCUUCCGAAAGAACACGCAAAGACGGGACCCCGUGGGUCCGUCUUAACAGUAGUUAUCUGAAAUU